rnacentral:ncRNA from 2 species
AUGCGUUUCCGGGGGAGCCCCACGGGGGGCUGAGAGGAAGGGUGGCCUUCGACCCCAAGUACCUGAUCCGGGUAAUGCCGGCGUAGGGAGGGAAGCGGCGGGCGCG